UACGUAGGGCGCAAGCGUUAUCCGGAAUUAUUGGGCGUAAAGAGCUCGUAGGCGGUUUGUCGCGUCUGCCGUGAAAGUCCGGGGCUCAACUCCGGAUCUGCGGUGGGUACGGGCAGACUAGAGUGAUGUAGGGGAGACUGGAAUUCCUGGUGUAGCGGUGAAAUGCGCAGAUAUCAGGAGGAACACCGAUGGCGAAGUCAGGUCUCUGGGCAUUAACUGACGCUGAGACGCGAAAGCGUGGGGAGCGAACAGG
rnacentral:rRNA from 1 species